rnacentral:ribozyme from 10 species
AGCAAUUAAGUUGUUGAUGAAUUUCCAUUGAUUUACUUGUCAAGCGGUCUAUAUAUUUCUUUGAUGACCCAAAUCGUGUAUGAUACAUAACGUAAACAUACCCUUAAACAUUUCUUUUUACAUAUACAAUCACACACACACACAUGCAUACAUACAUACACAAAUGCUG